rnacentral:lncRNA from 1 species
GGAAUUUUCCCUUGUCGUCAAGCGGCAUCAUGCGGCGAGGAACUUUUUCUCUUGACAGCAAUGCCACUGUCCAACGCACCUUUGACAUGCACAACAAAACCAAAAACGUGCGUACUCGCCUAAUCGCCCUAUACAUAUACAUCCGGGCAGAUGCCUUAGGCAAGUAAAAACAGCAAGUCCAUCGCAAUCGGUGAGCACGUCAACCGCACGAGGAGAG